GAUGAACGCUGGCGGCGUGCUUAACACAUGCAAGUCGAACGAAGCAAUGCAGCGGAAGCCUUCGGGUGGAAGAUGUAUUGACUGAGUGGCGGACGGGUGAGUAACGCGUGGGUAACCUGCCUUGCACAGGGGGAUAACAGUUAGAAAUGACUGCUAAUACCGCAUAACCCGCUAGUACCGCAUGGUACAGACGGAAAAGAUUUAUCGGUGUAAGAUGGACCCGCGUCUGAUUAGCUAGUUGGUAGGGUAACGGCCUACCAAGGCGACGAUCAGUAGCCGGCUUGAGAGAGUGAUCGGCCACAUUGGGACUGAGACACGGCCCAA
rnacentral:rRNA from 1 species